rnacentral:lncRNA from 1 species
AUGUUUGAGCUACUCUGUGACAUUUAAUCAUUAAUAGAAGAUUUGGGGUAUACACUACAGAUGGGCCCUGUUUGCUGAAAUGUUGGGGCCAAACAACUUGAUAGAGCCUAUGAUGUUCCUUUCAAGCUUUCUAAAGUUUCCACCAACCUCAGAUGAAAAUGUAACUGUGAGAAGUAAAUUUAACAACAUUGUUGUCUGCAUAUGUGUGCCAAAAUGGAAGACAGAAUCAUGAAAAAGAAGCUUAUUUUAUAACCAUGGUGGUGGCUCAUGUUUGAGUAGUAAUGCUCCUUGGUCUGGCCACUGAAGAAUGACAGAGCCCAGGGCCCCCGGUCCCAUCUGCCAUCACUGCUUUGGAGCCCAGGGUAACUCUGCCAGUAACAGGUAAGCUGA